rnacentral:misc_RNA from 1 species
UUCAAAUCAAGUAUAGUUCUCCUGGGAGAGAAAAUUAAAAACCAAACAAUCAUAAGAACCAAUUUAUAAUCGUAUUGAUAUAGAGUAUAGACGACAUCAAUGAUCAUAUAUAUUCAUUCCUGUUUGACUCGCUAGUUGGCCACAAGCAUCCCAACAAGAAAAGAAAAUUGUCACAUAUUGAUAAUGAGAAUUCAACAAAAUUGCACAAAAAGAAAAUACAAUUAAUUCCUUACACAUUUAUCUUAAACCCAUCGAACUUUGUCUUUGUGAUGUUGGACAAUGAAUUUGUAAAAUUGUUAUAUG